UACGUAGGGGGCUAGCGUUGUCCGGAUUUAUUGGGCGUAAAGAGCGUGUAGGCGGCCAGGUGGGUCUGCUGUGAAAACUCGAGGCUCAACCUCGAGAUGUCGGCGGAAACCAUCUGGCUAGAGUCCGGAAGAGGAGAGUGGAAUUCCUGGUGUAGCGGUGAAAUGCGCGGAUAUCAGGAAGAACACCCGUGGCGAAGGCGGCUCUCUGGGACGGUACUGACGCUGAGACGCGAAAGCGUGGGGAGCGAACAGG
rnacentral:rRNA from 1 species